rnacentral:lncRNA from 1 species
CUCCUGUCAACAUCAGGGUCACAGGCUCUGUGGAUGGGUCUGGGCUGGGAACGCUAGCCCUGGCCUUAGGGAUCCUGGGAGGCCUGGGAAUAGCCGCUCUGCUCAUUGGGGCCAUCCUGUGGCGAAAACGACAACCCAGACUCGAGGAGAGGAAGGCCCCAGAAAGCCAGGAGGACGAGGAGGAACGUGCAGAGCUGAAUCAGUCAGAGGAAGCGGAAAUGCCAGAGAAUGGUGCAGGGGGACCUUAAGAGCGCCCAGGCAAACCCUGUCUCCUUCAGCUUCCGACCUCAGCUGUGCUGGCUCCAGACGAGCUCCCCCACUCUACGAUCCCAAUUCAACCUCGAGCCACUUUCUUCUCCAACCAGAGCCCACAUGAUCCAUGCUGAGUAAACACCUGACACAUGUU